rnacentral:rRNA from 1 species
UUGAACGCUGGCGGCAUGCCUUACACAUGCAAGUCGAACGGUAACGGGUUAAGCCGACGAGUGGCGAACGGGUGAGUAAUAUAUCGGAACGUGCCCAAUCGUGGGGGAUAACGCAGCGAAAGUUGUGCUAAUACCGCAUAUGCCCUGAGGGGGAAAGGGGGGGAUCGCAAGACCUCUCGCUUUCGGAGUGGCCGAUAUCGGAUUAGCUAGUUGGUGAGGUAAAGGCUCACCAAGGCGACGAUCCGUAGCUGGUCUGAGAGGACGACCAGCCACACUGGAACUGAGACACGGUCCAGACUCCUACGGGAGGCAGCAGUGGGGAAUUUUGGACAAUGGGCGCAAGCCUGAUCCAGCCAUACCGCGUGAGUGAAGAAGGCCUUCGGGUUGUAAAGCUCUUUCAGCCGGAAAGAAAUUGCUUCUAUUAAUACUAGGAGUAGAUGACGGUACCGGAAGAAGAAGCACCGGCUAACUACGU